GUCAUAGAGGAUGCUGAGUUGGAAGGGACCCAGUAGGAUCAUCAAGUCCAAUUCCUGGACUCCACAAAAUAACUUAGUGGAAGUUUUCUGUUGGGUUUUCAGACUUGUACUCGCUGGCAAGAUGUUAAUUGUGUCACUGAGGCUCCUGCACCCAGCAAAGGUUUCUGAUUUAUCUGAUGUUUGCAGCAACAAUAAGGGUGGAAGUCUGGGAGACAAAAGAUGUGUAUCAGAGCCUCUCAAGGAGGGAGUUUUUUUGAAAGCUUUUUUUCCGGGGGCUGUUCAGGAUUCACCUGGUAACACCAGGUGUUACCAAACCCAUUCAGAGCUUAGAUGGACAUGGAACAUCACUGGGUCAGUUCUGCAGCUAAAGAUCAGGUUUCUGGGGACUUGUAGAUUUUGGAUGCUGUGGAAUGGCCUCUUAGAUAUACAAACAACAGAGCAAACCCACCCCCAAACCUGAACAAAAUGUUCACAGAUCAGAAAGGAAAAUAAGUGCACUACCAAUGGAGUCUGGAGGUGGCUGAUUUGUUGGGUUUUAAGUGAUAUGGAAUUCAUGCCUGGCACCUGAAGGCUCUGUGAUUUCAAGCAGGUUUUGCUUUGAGACUGAAACCAAAAUUGAAAGUAAAAUAUUUGGAUCAAGAAGUGAAAUAUUUCAAAAAAGACUAAAGGAAAUGUCUGUGUAACACUCAGCAAGAGACCCCCACCUGGCUUUUUGCUCAGCCCCCCUGCUCAGCCUCAUGUAGAGCCCAAAAUUAAAGACUGGGUUAAAUAACACCCUGAAAUAAUGCUACAAGUUCACCAUGGGACUGGUAAAAUGUGCUGCUGUUCUGCAUAAUAAAAGACUUGUCUUUAAUGCAAAGGCAGAUUUCAGCUCCAUUCCCUGAUAUAAAUAGGGCAGCUCAGAGUCAGAGUGAAUACAGAAAUUGUUUUCUUAUAUGCAAAUGAGAGAUCACAUUAUUUCAUAGGAGGAACUGUAAUAGUUGGGAAAUGUUUCCAGAUCCUUGUUAAAGGGGAAAAAAUAAAAGACUCAUCUAAUGUUCCUGGAUAAAAAUGACAUUAAUUGAAAGUUUGAUUCUAUUCCCUAAUGAGUUUUCCUGUUGCAUUGUAAUUAAUAAUUUCUUAGAUCCAGGAGAACUGAGUAUCCCUUCA